rnacentral:rRNA from 1 species
GGUCAAGCAAAUAAGCGCACACGGUGGAUGCCUUGGCGAUAAGAGGCGAUGAAGGACGUGGUAGUCUGCGAUAAGCCUCGGCGAGCUGACAAACUAGCUUUGACCCGGGGAUUUCCGAAUGGGGAAACCCACCCGCUUUGCGGGUAUCUUGCGCUGAAUACAUAGGCGCAAGAGGCGAACCCGGGGAACUGAAACAUCUAAGUACCCGGAGGAAAAGAAAUCAACCGAGAUUCCCCCAGUAGCGGCGAGCGAACGGGGAACAGCCCUUAAGCUUUGCAAGUUCUAGUGGAAUGUUCUGGAAAGUUCGGCCAUAGACGGUGACAGCCCCGUACACGAAAGGGCUUGCAAAAGUGAAAUCGAGUAGGACGGAGCACGAGAAACUUUGUCUGAACAUGGGGGGACCAUCCUCCAAGGCUAAAUACUCCUUAUCGACCGAUAGUGAACCAGUACCGUGAGGGAAAGGCGAAAAGAACCCCUGUUAGGGGAGUGAAACAGAACCUGAAACCGUGUGCGUACAAGCAGUGGGAGCCCGUUUUCGAGCGGGUGACUGCGUACCUUUUGUAUAAUGGGUCAGCGACUUACAUUUUGUAGCAAGGUUAACCGCAUAGGGGAGCCGCAGAGAAAUCGAGUCUUAAUAGGGCGCUUAGUUGCAGGAUGUAGACCCGAAACCGGGCGAUCUAGCCAUGGCCAGGUUGAAGGUCGGGUAAUGCCGACUGGAGGACCGAACCAACUUAUGUUGAAAAAUGAGUGGAUGAGCUGUGGCUAGGAGUGAAAGGCUAACCAAGCCCGGAGAUAGCUGGUUCUCCCCGAAAACUAUUUAGGUAGUGCCUCGUGUUUCACUUCCGGGGGUAGAGCACUGUAAUGGCUAGGGCCGCAUCUCGCGGUACCAACCCAUUGCAAACUCCGAAUACCGGAAAGUGCAAUCACGGGAGACAGACGGCGGGAGAUAAGUUUCGUCGUCGAAAGGGAAACAGCCCAGACCGCCGGCUAAGGUCCCCAAACACGUCUCAGUGGGAAACGAUGUGGGAAGUCUCAGACAGCCAGGAUGUUGGCUUAGAAGCAGCCAUCAUUUAAAGAAAGCGUAACAGCUCACUGGUCGAGUCGUCCUGCGCGGAAGAUAUACCGGGGCUCAAGACGUGUACCGAAGCCGCGGGUGCAUGCAUUCUUCGGAGUGCGCGCACGGUAGGGGAGCGUUCCGUAGCCCGUUGAAGGCGUGCCGUGAGGCAUGCUGGAGGCAUCGGAAGUGAGAAUGCUGACAUGAGUAGCGACAAUGCGGGUGAGAGGCCCGCACGCCGAAAGCCCAAGGUUUCCUGCGCAACGCUAAUCGGCGCAGGGUGAGUCGACCCCUAAGGCGAGGCCGAAAGGCGUAGUCGAUGGGAAUCAGGUUAAUAUUCCUGAACCGAAUAUAACUGCGACGGGGUGACGGAGAAGGCUAGGUCGGCCGGGUGUCGGAUAUCCCGGUUUAAGCGUGUAGGUUGGGAGCCCAGGAAAAUCCGGGCUUCCUUAAGACUGAGACGUGACGACGAGCGCCCUAACGGGCGCGAAGCGAUUGAUGCCAUGCUUCCAGGAAAACCCUCUAAGCUUCAGGUUGUAUUUGAUCGUACCCCAAACCGACACAGGUGGGCGGGGAGAGAAUCCCAAGGCGUUGAGAGAACUCUGGUGAAGGAACUCGGCAAAAUGACACCGUAACUUCGGGAGAAGGUGUGCCUCCGGUAGGUGAAGGGCUUCGCGCCCGGAGCCGAUGGGGGUUGCAACAAAGAGGUGGCUGCGACUGUUUACUAAAAACAUAGCACUCUGCAAACUCGCAAGAGGAAGUAUAGGGUGUGACGCCUGCCCGGUGCCGGAAGGUUAAGUGAUGGGGUUAGCCCUUGGGCGAAGCUCUUGAUCGAAGCCCCGGUGAACGGCGGCCGUAACUAUAACGGUCCUAAGGUAGCGAAAUUCCUUGUCGGGUAAGUUCCGACCUGCACGAAUGGCGUAACGAUGGCCACACUGUCUCCACCAGAGGCUCAGCGAAAUUGAACUCGCUGUGAAGAUGCAGCGUACCCGCGGCUAGACGGAAAGACCCCGUGAACCUUUACUACAGCUUCACACUGGACUUUGAGCACGCAUGUGCAGGAUAGGUGGAAGGCUUUGAAGCGGAGACGCCAGUCUUCGUGGAGCCAACCUUGAGAUACCACCCUUGCUUGUUUGGGGCCCUAACCGAGGCCCGUGAUCCGGGUCCGGGACCAUGUGUGGCGGGUAGUUUGACUGGGGCGGUCUCCUCCCAAAGAGUAACGGAGGAGCGCGAAGGUGCUCUAAGUGCGGUCGGAAAUCGCACGGCUAGUGCAAAGGCACAAGAGCGCUUGACUGCGAGACAGACACGUCGAGCAGGUGCGAAAGCAGGUCUUAGUGAUCCGGUGGUUCUGUAUGGAAGGGCCAUCGCUCAACGGAUAAAAGGUACUCCGGGGAUAACAGGCUGAUACCGCCCAAGAGUUCACAUCGACGGCGGUGUUUGGCACCUCGAUGUCGGCUCAUCACAUCCUGGGGCUGUAGCCGGUCCCAAGGGUAUGGCUGUUCGCCAUUUAAAGUGGUACGCGAGCUGGGUUUAGAACGUCGUGAGACAGUUUGGUCCCUAUCUGCCGUGGGCGCCGGAGACUUGAGAGGAGCUGCUCCCAGUACGAGAGGACCGGAGUGGACGUACCUCUGGUGUUCCGGUUGUGAUGCCAAUCGCAUUGCCGGGUAGCUAUGUACGGACGGGAUAACCGCUGAAAGCAUCUAAGCGGGAAGCCCCCCUCGAGAUUAGGUCUCCCCGGGGCCUUGCGCCCCCUGAAGGGUCGUUGAAGACUACAACGUUGAUAGGCUGGGUGUGGAAGUUCAGCAAUGAAUGAAGCUAACCAGUACUAAUUGCCCGUGCGGCUUGACCAU